AUCCCUUUGCUUAUUAUAACAGUACUAUAAGACACGCACUCUUACAAACCCUUAUUUUACAGAGGAAGAAACAGGCCCAGAGAAGUUGGGUAACUCAUCAAAGGUCACAGAGCUAAGACUGGCAGAGUAAGGCUUAGAGCCCAGGAAGUCUGGUUUCGAAUUUCAUGCUUCUAACCUGAGCACUGUACUGCUUGGUGGAGUUCUCUGCUAGUCCUACCUUUCAGGCAGAGUGAUGCAGCGAGAAAGCUGCCACCAGAUGCAGCCCCUUGAUCUUGGACUGCCC
rnacentral:lncRNA from 1 species